rnacentral:SRP_RNA from 13 species
GCCAGGUGAGGUGGCAUGUGCCUGUAGUCCUAGCUACUUGGGAGGCUGAGGUUGGAGGAUUGCUUAAGCCCAGGAGUUCUGGGAUGUAGCGCACUAUGCCGAUUCGGUGUCCACACUAAUUUCGGCAUCAAUAUGGUGACCUCUCAGGAACGGGGAACCACUAGGUUGCCUAAGAAGGGGUGAACCGGCCCAGGUCGGAAACAGAGCAGGUCAAAACUCCAGUGCUGAUCAGUAGUGAGAUCGCGCCUGUGACUAGCCGCUGCACUUCAGCCUGGGCAGCAUAGUGAGACCCUGACUCUU